AGAGUUUGAUCAUGGCUCAGGACGAACGCUGGCGGCGCGCCUAACACAUGCAAGUCGAACGGAGCUGAGAGGAGCUUGCUUUUCUUAGCUUAGUGGCGAACGGGUGAGUAACGCGUGAGGAACCUGCCUCAAAGAGGGGGACAACAGUUGGAAACGACUGCUAAUACCGCAUAAGCCCACGGCUCGGCAUCGAGCAGAGGGAAAAGGAGUGAUCCGCUUUGAGAUGGCCUCGCGUCCGAUUAGCUAGUUGGUGAGGUAACGGCCCACCAAGGCAACGAUCGGUAGCCGGACUGAGAGGUUGAACGGCCACAUUGGGACUGAGACACGGCCCAG
rnacentral:rRNA from 1 species